rnacentral:rRNA from 1 species
UACGAAGGGGGCUAGCGUUGCUCGGAAUCACUGGGCGUAAAGGGUGCGUAGGCGGGUCUUUAAGUCAGAGGUGAAAGCCUGGAGCUCAACUCCAGAACUGCCUUUGAUACUGAGGAUCUCGAGUUCGGGAGAGGUGAGUGGAACUGCGAGUGUAGAGGUGAAAUUCGUAGAUAUUCGCAAGAACACCAGUGGCGAAGGCGGCUCACUGGCCCGAUACUGACGCUGAGGCACGAAAGCGUGGGGAGCAAACAGGG